UACGGAGGGUGCAAGCGUUAAUCGGAAUUACUGGGCGUAAAACGCGCGUAGGCGGCUGAGUAAGUCGAUUGUGAAAUCCCCGGGCUCAACCUGGGAAUGGCGAUGGAUACUGGCUCGCUAGAGUGCGGUAGAGGAGAGUGGAAUUCCCGGUGUAGCAGUGAAAUGCGUAGAGAUCGGGAGGAACAUCAGUUGCGAAGGCGGCUCUCUGGACCAGCACUGACACUGAGGCACGAAAGCGUGGGGAGCAAACAGG
rnacentral:rRNA from 1 species